ACGCGGAUAAGCGCGCCGCGGCGCGCGCCGCGCACGAGCAGGUCCUCUGCCGCCAGAGCACCGUCGAGUUCAUCUCCUCGCUGCUCAAGGGCACGGACACCCCGGAUGAGCCCUUACCUCAACUCUUCGACGGUCUGCCCAACAGCGUCAACGAGUUCGCGGCGCUCGCGGACCCAACGGCGCCGAGCAUCACCAAGCAAGGAUCCACCAGCACCCUCGGGCCCUUCAUCGAUAACAUGAUCACCGAGCAGAACCGAAAAGCGGCUGCGGAGGCGCAGAAACUGGGUAGGGCCAACAGGUUCAAGAUGGGACCCGCGCCGGCGAGCGCGCUGAAGCGCAGGACGCCCGCGCCGCCGGACUUUUCCGCCGGCCUGCCCAUCGAAUAUCCCGUCGAGUUGAUCGCGGCGAAGCGCGCCAGGCGGAUCAACAGCGCGCCGGCGAGGCCGGGUCCCGCUCCUUGGGUGGGCGUCUCCGCCGACCACGCGCAUCCCAUGGCGAGGCGGCCGGACGGCUUCAUCGACGGCCCGGGGGUCCCUCCCACUAAUCGGGUCCCUGGUCUCGGGAUCGCCGGGGACAGGGCGUCGCCGGUGAUGAUGGGAGGAGGAGGAAACGGUCAGACGAACGCGGUGUCGCCGUCGGCGUCGUCCUUCGGGGGCGUCGCGAUGCAACCGCCGGCUGUGAAACACGAGGUAAAUGCGGCGAUGGGUUUGGCCGCCAAGGUUGAAAAACCCAAGGCGAAGAACCCCAAGCGCGCGGACCGCCGCAGGACCAUCGCGAGGUUCACCACCGCGAUCCUGCGAGCGGGCGGGUCCAACGCCUUCAUCGCUCGCGACGGCUUGGGCUAUCGCAAGGCUUUCGACAGGUUUUUGGUUGAGACGUACGGCGACACGUUCGCGGAGGGCGGGUACUGGUACGAAAACGCUCGCGUCGAGCCGUUCUUCAGGGUGCUGUUCCACAUCGCGACGGAUGGUAGGGUGCAGCUCGACCCGGACGCGGUGAACACGCUGUUUUGCAAGCGCGAGAAGCGACAGGCGGCGGAGUGGCUCCUCGACGAGGAGGAGCUGUCCAAGUUUGGAGUCACCGCCACGCAGCUCGCGCAGAUAUUCGAGGGGCCGCCGAGCGUAUCGCCCACGGGCUAUCCGCGCGGAACCCCGCUGGCCAUUCCCACGGAUGCAGAGCUUGACGGCGGCGCGGUGCCCGCGAAGAUGCCCGCGUCGUCAUCGGUGGCGGCGGCUGCUGCGGCGGCGGCGGCCGCCGCCGC
rnacentral:lncRNA from 1 species